GUCUAUCAAGGCGAAUGUGAAUGUUUUGGGGAAAACGUCAAAGGGUCUUGCUCUGGCGACCAGACUAGAGUACGGUGGCACAAUCUCAGCUCGCUGCAACCUCCACCUCCAGAGUUCAAGCGAUUUUCCUACCUCAGCCUCCCGAGUAGCUGGGAUUGCAGGCAUGCACCACCAUGCCCAGCUAAUUUUUGCAUUUUUUAGUACAUGUUGAUCUCAAUCUCCUGACCUCAAGUGAUCCUGCCGCCUCGGCCUCCCAAAGUACUGGGAUUACAGGCAUGAGGCACUGCGCCUGGCCUAUGAUGAACUGUCCUUCUAAAACGGGGAAAUAUGGACACAGGCACAUACAGAGGAAGACAGCUGAAGACACAGGGAAGAGGGGACCAGAUAUAAACUAAGAAGAGACACCUGCAGUGGAUCCUUCCCCCACAGCCCAGAAGGAAGUAACUCUGCCGACACGUUGAUCCUGGACUUCCAGCCUCCAGAACUGGGACAGAAUGGAUUUCUGUUAUUUAAGCUCCCCUCUCCCCAGCCAGUGGUGCUCAGUUACUGCCGCCAGGCAAAUUCCAUCACUACCUGAAUGCAGUGUGGGAUCCUGGAUGGGAUCUUGCCACAGAAAAAGGACACCCAUGGAAAAACUAAUGAAAUCCGAACGAGAUCUAUAGUUUCUAGUUCAGAGUAUUGCACCAAUAUUAAUUUCUUCACUUUGACAUAUGUACAAUGGUAAUGCAAGAUGUUAACAUCGGCUGGUUGUGGUGGCUCACACCCAUAAUCCCAGCACUUUGGGAGGCCAAGGUAGGUGGAUCACCUGAGGUCAGGAGUUUGAGACCAGCCUGGUCAAUAUGGUGAAACCCCGUCUCUACUAAAAAUACAAACAUUAGCCAGGCAUGGUGGCACCCGCCUGUAAUCCCAGCUACUCAGGAGGCUGAGGCGGGAGAAUUGCUUGAACCCGGGAGGCAGAUGUUGCAGUGAGCCGAGAUCACGCCAUUGCACUCCAGCCUGGGCGACAGAGCAAGACUCUGCUUCAAAAAAAAAAAACAAAAACAAAAACAAAAAGAUGUUCACAUUAAAGGAAGCUGGGCAAAAGAUAUAGAGAAGGCUCUGUACUAUCUUUGCAACUUAUCUGUAAUCUAAAACGAUUGCAAAGUAAAAAGUUUGAAAAAAGACUCAAUAAACCUAUUUAGGAUUCCACUCUUUAGGAUUCCACUUAUAUGAGCUACCCAGAGAAAUUUAUAAUGAAAGAAAGUAGAGGCCAGG
rnacentral:lncRNA from 10 species